GAAACCAACAGGGAUUGCCCUAGUAACGGCGAGUGAAGCGGCAACAGCUCAAAUUUGAAAUCUGGCUUUCGGGUCCGAAUUGUAAUUUGCAGAGGAUGCUUUUGGCGAGGUGCCUUCCGAGUUCCCUGGAACGGGACGCCUUAGAGGGUGAGAGCCCCGUACGGUUGGACACUAAGCCUCUGUAAAGCUCCUUCGACGAGUCGAGUAGUUUGGGAAUGCUGCUCUAAAUGGGAGGUAAAUUUCUUCUAAAGCUAAAUACCGGCCAGAGACCGAUAGCGCACAAGUAGAGUGAUCGAAAGAUGAAAAGCACUUUGAAAAGAGGGUUAAAUAGCACGUGAAAUUGUUGAAAGGGAAGCGUUUACGGCCAGACCUUUUCCUGGCGGAUCAUCCGGUGUUCUCACCGGUGCACUUCGCUAGGUUUAGGCCAGCAUCGGCUUUUGUAGGGGGAUAAAAGCAGUGGGAAAGUAGCUCCUUCGGGAGUGUUAUAGCCCUAAGCAUAAUACCCUUACGGGGGCCGAGGACCGCGCUUUUGCAAGGAUGCUGGCGUAAUGGUCGUCAACGACCCGUCUUGAAACACGGACCAAGGAGUCGAACAUUUGUGCGAGUGUUUGGGUGUUAAACCCUCACGCGUAAUGAAAGUGAACGGAGGUGAGAGCCCUUUAGGGUGCAUCAUCGACCGAUCCUGAUGUCUUCGGAUGGAUUUGAGUAAGAGCAUAACUGUUCGGACCCGAAAGAUGGUGAACUAUGCGUGGAUAGGGUGAAGCCAGAGGAAACUCUGGUGGAGGCUCGCAGCGGUUCUGACGUGCAAAUCGAUCGUCAAAUCUGCGCAUGGGGGCGAAAGACUUAUCG
rnacentral:rRNA from 1 species